rnacentral:ncRNA from 2 species
UUAAGCUUCAGCGCCAUAGGCGGGCGGCUUCUGCUUUUCUUGUUUUCGACUUAAUAGGGAAGUUGGUGUCAUUCCAACGCGGUCCCGCCACUGUAAAUGGGAGCUGCUACAAAAUCCACUGUGCAUAUGUUGCAUGGGAAGGGGUAGCAAGUGAUGAUCAUAAGCCAGGAGACCUGCCGGUGCUAUCGUUAAUCA